GGGGGAGGUAUGGACCCGUUACAAGUCAGUUCCCAAGUUAAUCCCGCAGAUUUAGCUAACAAAUCUCGCAAGAAACUUGUAACCCUAACUGAUUCUGCGCACGCGCAGACCAUCCGCGCCACCACCGCGGACCGUCCGGCCUACAGGGCGGACUAUCCGCCUGCCCAAAAGUGGUCUCAACAAAGUGUUCUUCUGGAUGACUAACCCUUUGUUCACCUCACUGCAACCAAACCAACAUUGCUAUAGGUGAAUGGUACAGUUUGAAACAAAAAUAGAAAUCCUAUCUGAUGGGGAGAUUAGAUUCAGAUUCAAUGAAACAAUUGGGAUGUUGGGGAUCAAUGAGACGUGGGAGAUUGGCUGUGGGAUCCGGUGCGCAACACAUAGCAACGACACAACACACAAACCAAAUUAUUGGUUAAAUGAAAAGCGGAAAGCAGAAGGUAAUCAACAACAUGCCUUCUUAAGGCCCGAGAGUGAUCAGCGACAUACAUACCGAUGAUGAGGAGCACCUUCGUGACCUUGUAGCGAUUGCGGCAGUAAUAGACUCGGGGACCCUCCCACUUGUCGUUGUCCGCGUACCUGCCCAUC
rnacentral:lncRNA from 1 species